UUUCUCAGCAGGCCGACCAUCCACCGACCAAUGACUAGUAGAAAUCAUUGUACUAUAAUGGUUAAGCUUCAUAGCUCAUUUUCUAUCUAGGAUUCCGUCAUGAGAUUCUUUUUCGAAAAUACGAAAGAACAUUACGAGGAUAUACUGUAAUAGAAGGAUUUAAUUGGAAAACCAUACACUUUAUAUAAUAAGGUGUAAAGUUAGUCGCAACGCGGUAUACCGGUCGAGGUAUACAGGAACAGAGGAUAGCAGGCACAGAUCAAUACUUUCCUUCAGCUAUGACCUCCCUUCGUUCUCUCAGCCCGUUGCGGAGCUCACCCUCUCUCUGGCUGCUCUUGCAACCCUCAAAUUUAACCCCUACCUUUUACACCCCUUCCUUUUAUGGCAAGAUCUUAUAAAUAUAUCGCACCCUUUACACAUUUUCAAACGAUUAAUAAGUUCAUACGCUUCUACGCUCUGAUGCGUUCGCUUCGCCAUGCCGCUUCUUCUCUUCGUGUUAUAUAUAUAUAUAUAUAUAAAAUAUGUGUGGUGUAUAUAUAUAUAUAUAUUCUGCACAAUUUUCUCGUUCGGACAAUAUAGAAUGUCAAACAUAAAUUCGCAGAAGAAUAUAGCUGGCUCACCCAUCGAUAAUCAUACAGACUUUUCACGCCUAAGCCACAGGACAUGUAUAAUUUUUUCAUGGUGGGUUCCAGUGUCCUGAAUGAACAUAUAGAAGUGUCUGUCUUAGAUAUUGAUUAUUAAUAUUAACGAAAGGACGUAAAGAGAGAAAUUAAAAAUAAAAAAUACGAUUAAAAAUAUUUAAAUGUUUCAAUACUCGUGUAAAAGACCUGCUUUAUCACAAUGCUUACAGCUGUCCCUUCGGAUCUUAGGAAACAGCGUGCACGAUAGGAAUCUGAUCAUGAGUAACUUGCGACACAAGAAGUUAAUUGAUCAUUUUUAUCAGUCCUCAAUGAUAGAAGACGAAGAAUGAAAAGUGCUGGCGCAGCGUUGAAUGCCGAGCAUAAAAUCGAUAGUACCUAUUUUUCGCGUAGCAAAUAUAAGAAAAUUUUAGGUCACCUCGCAGCGUAAUGAGAACGAAAAAUUAUCAGGAAUAAUCUGUCACGUGAGUAGUCGCUGUAUAAUCUGAGUAAACUAUGGCGGAUACAAACUAGUAAGGUAUACGCUAGAUGUGAGAAAAGAAAUAGCUAGAGUGAGAAAGAAAGGAUUUAAAAGAAUGUCUGCCAAAAAAAUCAUCCAAAAGAAUUGACGUCUGAGAAGGAAACAUAAGAUAUAUAUACACACGUAGGACAUACAGUAGUCCGGGAAAAGCAAAUAAUAUCAAAGGAAACCAAAUGACGCCUUGGGGCUCUUUAAAAGUCCUCAUCGAUUUUAUUCGUAAAGGAACAGCAGAGUCAAGGAGUCGUGAAGACUGAAGAGAGUGGCAUUCUCGUGCGCCACGGUGAACAAUAAAAAAAAAAAUUACCGGCGUGCUGUUCCUUCUCUCUGAGACACUCAACGAAUAUCGUACACGCUACUGAACACAGAGCAUGGACAAUGACGACCAGGUUAUUUCCACGGUUGGCAAAUUGUUGGCAACCGGGAUUGUAUCUGUAGCGGUAAUAGCAACAGCAUUGUUUGGAUCAAACGUAAGAGACUGAGAGAGGAUCCAGGACAACCGGUGAAUAAUGAAAAUAUAAAAAGAAGCGUGAGCGAUGAAGGGGGGAAAAAGGAGAGCGAGCCCAGCAACUAUGGGUAAGCAGAUGAAAAUUCAGUGAAAGCUAGCGGCGUCAUCUAUAGAGUGACUUCAAGGCCAGCAGCCACGAGCUCGCACGUUAUUACGUACGUAGUAAGCUGGAUGGCUGGCUGAGUGGCCUGGCUGGCGAUCGGUGGGUGUCGUGUCUAUGCGUCACUCAGAGAGAAGGAGCGACUCGAGCGGUUAUCUACGAGGGGGCCCCGUACACACGCCUAGCAACGCUGCCAUGAAAUCCGGCAUUCCAUAAAGAGUUCUAAAAGUAAGAGCUCAACGAAAGUAUAAACCACUCCUCCAGAGGAAGGUCCUCGGGAAAACGCUGCGAAGAGAAUACGGGCGGCGUCAACGACAACGGUGGCGUGCGGAUGCGAUGAGACGUUGUAGAGGCCAGGCGGGCAUACAUGGGUUUUCAUGGAUUUUAGGGAGUCGUGUCGGUCUUUUGCAGAAAAUAACU